CUCAACCACUGAUUGGCUAAUUACCCGACACUCAGCAUGGUCCAGAUCAUGAUCCUGGGGUCGAGCCAGUGCAGGCUGAGGGCCAGACGGGCCGCCGGGACCCCGUCUCCAGUGUUCAGGACGUGAGUCGUCAGAGGGCUGGACUCUGCCAUCAUCUGCAGGACGGGAGGAAAGCUCCAAUCUCCUGGCUGUUCCACGGACAAAACUGGCCAGCAUGGGACACCGUACUGUCUCCUCCCUGGGUCUGUGGGAUCAGCUCCCAGAGAAUAUAAGGACCUCUGCAUCACUCUCAGUUGCUAAAGAUACAGCCUCAGGACCCUCCUGAUCCGCACCGUGUUUUACGGACUGUCCUGGUUUUCCUUUUCACCAUGUGCUCUGCUUAUAAACUAAGUUUUGUACCUCCUAUUUAAAAGAAAAAUGCUUCGAACGACUUUCUAUUCAAACUGACUUCUUUUGGAGGAAAUACCAGCUUUGGUUUUAAGCACUUAGAUCAAUAAUUCACUCCCAAUAUGGUUUUUAUACAUCAAGUUCUCUCCCUGUUUCCUCACAUGCCUUUACAGUGAACGAAGAUUUCAAAAAUCUAUACAAACUAUAAAGAAACCAUUCAA